rnacentral:rRNA from 1 species
AUUGAACGCUGGCGGCAGGCCUAACACAUGCAAGUCGAGCGAGACCUUCGGGUCUAGCGGCGGACGGGUGAGUAACGCGUGGGAACGUGCCCUUUGGUACGGAAUAGCCCCGGGAAACUGGGAGUAAUACCGUAUAAGCUCUUCGGAGGAAAGAUUUAUCGCCAAAGGAUCGGCCCGCGUUGGAUUAGGUAGUUGGUGGGGUAAUGGCCUACCAAGCCGACGAUCCAUAGCUGGUUUGAGAGGAUGAUCAGCCACACUGGGACUGAGACACGGCCCAGACUCCUACGGGAGGCAGCAGUGGGGAAUCUUGCGCAAUGGGCGAAAGCCUGACGCAGCCAUGCCGCGUGUAUGAUGAAGGUCUUAGGAUUGUAAAAUACUUUCACCGGUGAAGAUAAUGACUGUAGCCGGAGAAGAAGCCCCGGCUAACUUCGUG